rnacentral:rRNA from 1 species
AAUUUUCGGCAAUGGAGGAAACUCUGACCGAGCAAUGCCGCGUGAAUGAUGAAGGUCUUCGGAUCNUAAAGUUCUGUUAUCAGGAANGAACAGUACUAAUAGGAAAUGAUUAGUAUUUGACGGUACCUGAUUAGAAAGCCCCGGCUAACUAUGUGCCAGCAGCCGCGGUAAUACAUAGGGGGCAAGCGUUGUCCGGAAUUACUGGGCGUAAAGGGUGCGUAGGCGGCCGUUUAAGUCAGAUGUGAAAUACCACGGCUCAACUGUGGGGGUGCAUUUGAAACUGGAUGGCUUGAGUGCAGGAGAGGAAAGUGGAAUUCCUAGUGUAGCGGUGAAUUGCGUAGAUAUUAGGAGGAACACCAGUGGCGAAGGCGACUUACUGGACUGUAACUGACGCUGAGGCGCGAAAGCGUGGGGAGCAAACAGG